GAUGAACGCUGGCGGUAUGCCUUACACAUGCAAGUCGUACGAGAGUUUUUAACUCAAGUGGCGGACGGGUGAGUAACACGUAAGAAUUUGCCUUUAGGAGGGGGACAACAACUGGAAACGGUUGCUAAUACCCCAUAUGCUUUCGAGUGAAACGGAUUUUCCGCCUAAAGAGAAGCUUGCGGCUGAUUAGCUUGUUGGUGAGGUAAUGGCUCACCAAGGCGACGAUCAGUAUCUGGUGAGAGGAUGAUCAGACACACUGGAACUGAGACACGGUCCAGACUCCUACGGGAGGCAGCAGUGGGAAUUUUCCGCAAUGGGCGAAAGCCUGACGGAGCAAUACCGCGUGAGGGAUGACUGCCUAUGGGUUGUAAACCUCUUUCGGCGGGAACGAAAUGGUCGUGCUAAUACCACGGACUGAUGACGGUACCCGAAGAAGAAGCACCGGCUAACUACGUGCCAGCAGCCG
rnacentral:rRNA from 1 species